AUCAGCGUUGCGGCUCGAGGCAAAGCUGGUCCUGUGCCUGCUGUCCAUUGCCGCUAAGGCCUGCUGCUGCCAUUCAGGCGUGUCUCUCUCUCUCUCUCUCUUUCAUGCCGCUCUCUCCACCCCAUCUUGGGACGGCCAGCUCUAAGAAUUCCUGCUACGACACUGAAUUCAACCAGGAGGUGAUGCCACACUCAAUCAGAAACUAUGCUACUGCUGAAGAGGUAUAUUGAGCCCUGCCUGGUUAACCUCCAGUGAGGUUAUUAGAGAAUUGGGAGAGGCUCAAAUCAGCAUCCUGCACCUAGUUAUCAAACCAUUGUGAAGUCUUGAUUCCUGGAUGGCCAGAAAACUUGUCAUUGGUCAAGAGCAACAUUAAGAUCUGCCUGUUACUCAUACUGAUGCUUCCUGCCCAGCAAGUUCAUCAGAGGGCGAGGAUGAAUUACGGUUGCCAUGAAUGUCCUUGUGAGGCAGUUGGGAAGCCUUGGCUGGAUUGUGAAGGAUAUUUGAAAAGUAUUUUAGAGUCCACCAGAUCAUCCAUGUGAGUGACCAUGCAGCAAAAGAAGGAGGGUCCUCUCAGUGAUUAAGAUAAUCAGCAACUGCUGUGAUGAGAUGCUGCCUUUAAUGCUGCUGCAUGUGGUCAAACCUCCACUCCCAGUCUACCCAGACCAGGACUUGGCUUCCAGGAUCCAGGGGUGUCUGUGUGAAAUGAUCAGCCUGGGCCCCCAAGCAGGUCACUCCCAGCACAGAGAUGUCAUUGAUUGUACCACCGUCAUCAGGCUGUCUUCCGCCCUCAGGGAAAAGUAGCAUGUCUU
rnacentral:lncRNA from 10 species